GACGAACGCUGGCGGCGUGCUUAACACAUGCAAGUCGAACGGAAAGGCCUCUUUCGGGGGGUACUCGAGUGGCGAACGGGUGAGUAACACGUGAGUAACCUGCCCUUGACUUUGGGAUAACUUCCGUAAACUGGGGCUAAUACCGGAUAGGAGCUCCUGCUGCAUGGUGGGGGUUGGAAAGUUUCGGCGGUUGGGGAUGGACUCGCGGCGUAUCAGCUUGUUGGUGGGGUAGUGGCUUACCAAGGCUUUGACGGGUAGCCGGCCUGAGAGGGUGACCGGCCACAUUGGGACUGAGAUACGGCCCAGACGCCGACGGGAGGCAGCAGGGGGGAAUAUUGCACAAGGGGUGGAAGCCGGAUGCAGCAACGCCGUGGGCGGGAGGACGGCCUUAGGGUUGGAAACCGCUUUCGCUCAUGACGAAGCUUUGUGUGACGGUAGUGGGUAAAGAAGCACCGGCUAACUACGUG
rnacentral:rRNA from 1 species